rnacentral:rRNA from 1 species
UACGUAGGGUCCGAGCGUUGUCCGGAGUUACUGGGCGUAAAGGGCUCGUAGGUGGCCAACUAAGUCAGACGUGAAAUCCCUCGGCUUAACCGGGGAACUGCGUCUGAUACUGGAUGGCUUGAGUUUGGGAGAGGGAUGCGGAAUUCCAGGUGUAGCGGUGAAAUGCGUAGAUAUCUGGAGGAACACCGGUGGCGAAGGCGGCAUCCUGGACCAACACUGACACUGAGGAGCGAAAGCCAGGGGAGCAAACGGG